AUAGGUUUGCUAUGAACAUAAAUGAGUUACACAGCCUCACCUAGUACAUCAAAAAAUGUGCCUAUUCUCUGCAAUUGCCAAGAGUCAGUGGGGCAAGUUUGUCAGGACAGAUACCCCUUAUUUCAUGGAGAUAUAGAUCGGUGCAGUGGAGAGAGGAGAGGACCUCAAGGCAACAGACAUAGGGUCAUAUCCCAACUGUGUGACCUUGGGCAAGUCCCUCAACCUUUCAUUAUCCUGGUGUCCUAAUCUGCAGUAUAGAAACUGUCCACACAGUGCUUUACAAACCGCAGAGUGCUGUUUCAAUGUAAGGUUGCAUUAUCAUGGUUAGGAUGACUACUUAUGAGGAUUAUGGCUUCCCUGAGGACAGGCACAAUCUCUGUAUCUUCAGUAUUUUGUAUUUUAACUAGCAGGGGCUUACUACUUAUUUAUGGAGAUUCCACUGAGAACAUAUGCAGUGGUGUAUCUUGGACACGGGCAAGGUUGCUUUACCCUAUGCUUUAAUGGAUUAAAAUAAGACUGAUAUUGUUUCCCUAAGAAGAAACACCAGUCACCCUCAUGAUCAAGGGCAAGAAGAUUUUCUUUUCACUUUGUUCUUUGGCCUCUGUGGCCAUGAAGACCACAUCUGGCCUCUUCUGCUGUGCUCUCUGGUGCUCCGGCACAUAUUCAAGACACACUGUGUCAGGCCUGUGCUUGUCACUGGGAAGACAGAGACAAAUAAGGCAAGCUUCCUGCCAUUGCACGGAUGGGCAUCCAUGACUUCAAAUCUGCUCUUCUCUCAAUUAGAAAGG
rnacentral:lncRNA from 1 species